rnacentral:rRNA from 1 species
GACGAACGCUGGCGGCGUGCCUAAUACAUGCAAGUAGAACGCUGAAGAGAGGAGCUUGCUCUUCUUGGAUGAGUUGCGAACGGGUGAGUAACGCGUAGGUAACCUGCCUUGUAGCGGGGGAUAACUAUUGGAAACGAUAGCUAAUACCGCAUAACAAUGGAUGACACAUGUCAUUUAUUUGAAAGGGGCAAUUGCUCCACUACAAGAUGGACCUGCGUUGUAUUAGCUAGUAGGUGAGGUAAUGGCUCACCUAGGCGACGAUACAUAGCCGACCUGAGAGGGUGAUCGGCCACACCGGGACUGAGACACGGCCCAGACUCCUACGGGAGGCAGCAGUAGGGAAUCUUCGGCAAUGGGGGCAACCCUGACCGAGCAACGCCGCGUGAGUGAAGAAGGUUUUCGGAUCGUAAAGCUCUGUUGUAAGUCAAGAACGGGUGUGAGAGUGGAAAGUUCACACUGUGACGGUAGCUUACCAGAAAGGGACGGCUAACUACGUG